rnacentral:rRNA from 1 species
ACUCAAAGGAAUUGACGGGGGCCCGCACAAGCGGUGGAGUAUGUGGUUUAAUUCGACGCAACGCGAAGAACCUUACCCAGCCUUGACAUCCUCGGAACCUGAUGGAAACAUCGGGGUGCCUUCGCAAGAAGGAGCCGGGAGACAGGUGCUGCAUGGCUGUCGUCAGCUCGUGUCGUGAGAUGUUCGGUUAAGUCCGGCAACGAGCGCAACCCUUGCUUCCAGUUGCCAUCAUUCAGUUGGGAACUCUGGAGGAACUGCCGGCGCCAAGCCGGAGGAAGGUGGGGACGACGUCAAGUCAUCAUGGCCUUUAUGGCUGGGGCUACACACGUACUACAAUGGCGAAUACAAAGGGCCGCGAAGCCGCGAGGUGAAGCAAAUCCCAAAAAAAUCGCCUCAGUUCGGAUUGCAGUCUGCAACUCGACUGCAUGAAGUUGGAAUCGCUAGUAAUCGCGGAUCAGCACGCCGCGGUGAAUACGUUCCCGGGCCUUGUACACACCGCCCGU